AACGUAGGACACGAGCGUUAUCCGGAGUUACUGGGCGUAAAGGGUGCGUAGGUGGGUUGGUAAGUCAGUGGUGAAAUCUCCAGGCUUAACUUGGAAACUGCCAUUGAUACUAUCAAUCUUGAAUACCGUGGAGGUCAGCGGAAUAUGUCAUGUAGCGGUGAAAUGCUUAGAUAUGACAUAGAACACCAAUUGCGAAGGCAGCUGGCUACACGAAUAUUGACACUGAUGCACGAAAGCGUGGGGAUCAAACAGG
rnacentral:rRNA from 1 species